GUAGGGAAUAUUGCACAAUGGGGGAAACCCUGAUGCAGCGACGCCGCGUGAGUGAUGAAGGCCUUCGGGUCGUAAAGCUCUGUCGUAUGGGACUAACAAAAUGAAGGUACCAUGCAAGAAAGGAUCGGCUAACUUCGUGCCAGCAGCCGCGGUAAGACGAGGGAUCCUAGCGUUGUUCGGAAUUAUUGGGCGUAAAGCGGGUGUAGGCGGGCCUGUCAGUCAGGUGUGAAAUCCCAGGGCUUAACCCUGGAAGUGCACUUGAUACUGCAGGUCUUGAGUGUGGUAGAGGCUAUUAGAAUUCUUGGUGUAGUGGUGAAAUACGUAGAUAUCAAGAGGAAUACCGGAGGCGAAGGCGGAUAGCUGGGCCAACACUGACGCUGAGACCCGAAAGCGUGGGGAUCAAACAGGAUUAGAAACCCUGGUAGUCC
rnacentral:rRNA from 1 species